rnacentral:RNase_P_RNA from 1 species
GAAGCACGCCAGACCGCCGCGGGGGCAGGGCUCGAAAGGGCGCCUCCGAGGAACGUCCGGACUGCACAGGGCAGCGCAGGAGCUAACGGCUCUCCACCGCGAGGUGAGGAUCAGAGCAACAGAGACGAGUCGCGCGGGGCAACCCGCGCGGGUGAAACGGGCAAUCUCUGCGCGCAGCAACACCAAAUAGGCCAGCGUCGAGGCGGCCCGCUGAGCUGGCGGGUAGGUGGCACCGAGCCGCACGGGUGACCGGCGGCCCAGAUGGAUGGCGGUCACGCGGCGGGCAACCGCCGCGCACAGAAUCCGGCGUAUCGGCGGGCUUCACAC